GACGAACGCUGGCGGCGUGCUUAACACAUGCAAGUCGAACGGAGAAUUUAUUUCGGUAAAUUCUUAGUGGCGAACGGGUGAGUAACGCGUGGGCAACCUGCCCUUCAGAUGGGGACAACAUCCCGAAAGGGGUGCUAAUACCGAAUACGAUCACGCUGCCGCAUGGCGGUGUGAUGAAAGAUGGCCGCUAUAUAUAAGCUAUCGCUGAAGGAUGGGCCUGCGUCUGAUUAGCUAGUUGGUGGGGUAACGGCCUACCAAGGCGAUGAUCAGUCGCCGGUCUGAGGGGAUGAACGGCCACAUUGGGACUGAGACACGGCCCAAACUCCUACGGGAGGCAGCAGUGGGGAAUAUUCCGCAAUGGACGAAAGUCUGACGGGGCAACGCCGCGUGAGUGAUGAAGGUUUUCGGACUGUAAAGCUCUGUUGUUUAGGACGAAAGUGCCUGUUGCAAAUAGUUGCAGGUAUUGACGGUACUGAACGAGGAAGCCACGGCUAACUACGUGCCAGCCGCCGCAGUAAUAC
rnacentral:rRNA from 1 species